GAGUGAAGGCAGAUGAAGAUGGACAGUUAGAGAAAUGAGAAGUGCCCUCCUGAUAAUCCUGACAUUGAUUAUACACUGAGUUGUAGUCGACAGCAUAAUCACCUGACCUGGGACUCUCUUCUGCUUCAUCAGAUUUCAGAGAAGCCAAAGGAAGAGGCGGUAGUCUGAUGUAAGCCAGAUUUUUAAAACCCGAACCAUUGGACCACCUGUAGUUAUAAUGACAUCAGACUUCUGAAACUAUUUAUAUUUUUAAAGAUUAUAGUGUUUUUGUCAUUUUUGUGCCACUUUUACUUUUUUUUUUUAAAGAAUGAUCUUCUGUAUCUUUUUGUCAUUGAUUGUGUUAAACCAUUAAAUAAAAGAAAAAAGUGACUCAA